rnacentral:lncRNA from 1 species
AGGCAAGUGCCUCACAUUCACUGUUGGAUUCCAAGAAUAGUAGCUAUAAGACUGUUGCAAAGAUCAAAUGACUGCUUACAAAGGUGCUUGGCAAGGCACAUGUGUGAUAUAGAUAAUGGCUGGUAUUACUCAUCAGAAAAAUGGAGGAGUAAGGUGCUAUUUGUGAAGCAGGAAGUGGUCCCUCACCAGGCACAUGGACCAUCAGUACCUUGAUCUUGGAUUUCUAGCCCCAGAACUAGCAGCAGCUGAUGGAAACAGAUGCAGAGACCCACAGCCAAACUUUGGGCGGGGCUUGGAAAAUCCCAUGGAAGAGGGAGAGAAAGGUUUGAAGAAGCCAUAGAGGUCACAGAUACCACAAGAAAACCUACAGAAUCAACUAACCUGGGCCCAUAGGGGCUCACUAAGACUGAGUCACCAGGCAGAGAACAUGCAUAGAAUGGAUUUGGGCCCUCUGUGGGCGCACAUAUAACAGAUGUGGGACCCCUAACAGCAGGAGCAGGUGUCGUCUCGGACUCUGUUGCCUGUCUGUGGGUCCCUUUUCCCUAGCUGGGCUUCCUUGCCUAUUGGGCUAGCCUCAAUGAACCUAGUCAUACUGCAAAGUGAUAUGCCAAGGUCAGUCGAUAUCCACAGGAGGCCUCUUCUUCUCUGGGGGGGGGGUAAGAGGGAGGGUCUGGGAGGAGAGGAAGGAAGCUGUGAUCUGCAUAUAAAGUAAAUAAAUUAAUCAAUUAAAAUGUAAUAAAUUUGAGAACAGAGGUAAAAAAACAAAUAAGAAAAAUGUUUUAGAUUACUACACUUACCUUAUUAUAAGAUCUUUUAUAUUACUUAUAAUACAUGUACUAUAUUAACAAAUUAUUGGUGUAUAAUCAAUAUUAAUAAAUAUAUUAUUUUCUUCUA